UUUUUUUAUUUUUUAUUUUUGUUUGUUCAGUUGGGAAUGUAUAGUUUUGUCUUGGGGUUUUGAUUUGAUGGUCUAUGGUUACUGUCUUUCAAGAAGGGAGUUCCAGUGCAGAUAGAGAACAAUAAUAUUAAUUUCUACUCUUGGGGUUUCUCCUUGUCGGCUGGCAUAAUGGAGAUAUUGGUAUCGGUAGCCCGUAGGUCACCACCUUUGGCUGGGCUAAAUAAGGCUGAGACGCCCAUAAACCGUCAAGCUAUCUCUCGAUUCUUCCGACAAUGAUUCAAUGGUUCAUAAGCCCAAUUUUAUCUAAUACUUAGUCCAUAAUUCUCCCAUUUCCUCUGAGAUUACAGAUUCGGAAGUUUGGUUGGGUUGGGUGACGUUUUUGCUUUCCUCUUAUUUGGUUAAGUUAUCCCUAUGUGAUUUAUUUUCUGUAACUUCUCUUGCAGUAGCUAGGUUUUUCUGUUGAUGAUGGAUUGGUGGCUUGGCCCUUGCUAUGGAUACUGCUGGAGAGGUUUAUGUUAGAGUGAGUUGGGCAAAACUUGUUUAAUUCUAAGGCUCCAAGAUAAUUGGAUAUGAGUCUUUGGUGUCUUAGAUUUAUGUUGGAGUUAUUGUAGUAAAGCCUUUUAUUGUGGGCUUGUGAACUUUAGAACAAUGUUUCAUCAAAUUAAAGUUUCUUCUUUCUCGUUAAAAUAAAUAAAUAAAUAAAACGACAAACAAAUUGAUUGAUUAUUUGACAAUGUCAAUAGGCAUGGCCACAUCUGCCGACUAAAAGAUUCCCGAGAUAAGAAAUGUCAUCCAUAUCUCUAUCCCCCCAGCUGUCCUCGGAGAACAAAAUUGUUCUUCCUUCUUUACAAAAACGAACAAAUAAUCAUAAUGCUAGAAAUCUCCAACAGUCUAAAUAGAAAAACUAUUUAGAAAAAAAAUAGAAAAACUAUGUGCAUAUAUGCUUAUUGUACCGUAAAAGAAAAAGGGUGCCUAUCCUUUAUAUGAUUCUACGCCCACCAACCUUGGUUUAUUCGAGAACAAAAUACACUAUCUAGGUCUGCAUUUUUAUUUCACACUUACAGGGUAUAAACAUAGAAGCUCUUUUCUUCCAAUUCAGCUUGCUCUCAGAUCAAGCCUUGCAGGACAAAAACUUCGAUCCCUCAACGAUCGAGGACCUGAUGAAGCUGUUUGAGAUAGAUGCAUACAAGUCACGGGCAGCAACGGAGCUUGAGCAGGAUAAGGAAGUGAAAGAAGCAGAAAUAGCUAUGCAAAAAGCUGAUGACUAUUUUGAUUCUGUGAUGGAAAGUGCCAUGGAUGAAUUUCGUCGAUUCGAAAGGAUGGCAAAGGCAGAGCUUGAAAGCUUAGAACAGACUGCUGAGAGUGCAAGAAAAAUGGGAAAAUUAAUGGAAAAAACAGCAAAUAUUGCUUCCAAGAAGUAUAUUGAAUCUGCUGUUAAUUCUGCUACUGCUUCCAUGAAAUCUGGCUGGAAGGGACUGUCCUCUAACAAGGUUCAUCCUUCUUGAGAGAUCCUGAUGAAUUUUUAACCUUUUUCCUUUUCCUUUCCCUGAUCAUGAAAGAACUCUUUUUCAUUGUACUAUGUUCUUCAUCUGAGGCUCUUGUUAAAGUCAUAUGGUAAAGAAAAGCCAUAAAGUGAUGAUCUUUAAGAACUGGGAAAUGUAAUAAAUAUAACAGGAAAUUGAAAAUUACUCAUUUGUGGAAGAAAAUUAUAUAAAGAAAAGCCAUAAAGUGAUGAUCUUUAAGAACUGGGAAAUGUAAUAAAUAUAACAGGAAAUUGAAAAUUACUCAUUUGUGGAAGAAAAUUAUAUAAAGAAAAGCCUAAAUGAAAUAAUUAAUUAUCAGUAUUAUUUUUAUUUUUUGGAUGAUGUUGAUCUUUUGUUUUACUGAUUAUCAAAGGUUGCCUUGACCUGUGUGGCUGUGGCUGCUCAUGAGCAAUAGUUUGU
rnacentral:misc_RNA from 1 species